GGGAGCGAUGUACGAGGGCCCCGCAGCCGCCUCCGCGCCGGGAGCAGCGCCCAGCGGCAGGGGCCAGAGAGGAGACUCCGCUGCCUGUCGGCAUCGCUCCAGGGAGCCAGGGAGGAAGGGGCUUCUCCCCAUGGCAGCCGCCCCCCCAACGUAACGCCAGCCAAACUGGACGCCGCAGUCCCCCAAGAGACCCCCCCCUGCCAGCACCCACCCGCCUGUCACCUCCAGCCCGGCCCGGACUCGCCCAGCGCUGCCCUGCCCCACGCCAGCCCCGCGCCCCACGGGUCGGCCACGGGUGGACGCUGUGAUGCCGCGACCAUCACCGACUUGUGCAGCGGCGAUGUCCCCGAGGUGGAGAUCGUCAGCCUGCUGGGCGAGCCGCUGCCGCGCUACACGCUGCGGGCUGACACCGUCUUCGGCUACGAUCAUGACGACUGGCUGCGUGGCCCCCCUGGGCCGCCAGAGCCCCCGGCCCCUCUCACCCCAGAGCAGAUCGAGGAGACCCUGCAGUAUUUCGGUGAGUGCUUCAUCCCAUGGGGGCGUGGGGCUGGCGAGGGCAGCGGGGUGCGGGCAGCGGGGUGCGGGCAGCGGUGCAGGCAGAGGGGUGCAGGCAGAGGGGUGCAGGCAGAGGGGUGCACAUCAAGGUGCUGGAGCGGGUCCAGAGAAGAGCAACAAAGAUGGUGAGG
rnacentral:lncRNA from 1 species